rnacentral:snRNA from 1 species
UAUAUAGGGGGGUGGGUGUUGAG